GAUCAUGGCUCAGGACGAACGCUGGCGGCGCGCCUAACACAUGCAAGUCGAACGGAGCUAUUUCGAUAGAUCUCUUCGGAGUGACAUUGGCUUAGCUUAGUGGCGAACGGGUGAGUAACACGUGAGGAACCUGCCUUUCAGAGGGGGACAACAGUUGGAAACGACUGCUAAUACCGCAUAAGACCACGAUACGGCAUCGUAUUGAGGUCAAAGGAGCAAUCCGCUGAAAGAUGG
rnacentral:rRNA from 1 species